rnacentral:rRNA from 1 species
GACGAACGCUGGCGGCGUGCUUAACACAUGCAAGUCGAACGGAAAGGCCCUGCUUUUGUGGGGUGCGCGAGUGGCGAACGGGUGAGUAACACGUGAGUAACCUGCCCUUGACUUUGGGAUAACGUCAGGACACUGUGGCUAAUACCGGAUAGGAGCUCCUGCUGCAUGGUGGGGGUUGGAAAGUUUCGGCGGUUGGGGAUGGACUCGCGGCUUAUCAGCUGGUUGGUGGGGUAGUGGCUUACCAAGGCUUUGACGGGUAGCCGGCCGGAGAGGGUGACCGGCCACAUUGGGACUGAGAGACGGCCGAGACUCCUACGGGAGGAAGCAGUGGGGAAUAUUGCACAACGGGCGGAAGCCGGAUGAAGCAACGCCGCGUGCGGGAUGACGGCCUUCGGGUUGUAAACCGCUUUCGCCUGUGACGAAGCGGGAGUGACGGUAAUGGGUAAAGAAGCACCGGCUAACUACGUG